rnacentral:rRNA from 1 species
UCUGUUUGAUCCUGGCUCAGAGUGAACGCUGGCGGCAUGGUUAAGACAUGCAAGUCGAACGAAAAGCAAAUCUUCGGAUUUGUGGAAAGUGGCGAACGGGUGCGUAACACGUGAGCAACCUGCCCUAAAGUGCGGAACAGCCUGUCGAAAGAUGGAUUAAUGCCGCAUGUGGCUCUUCUUCGCAUGGAGAAGUAGCUAAAGCUUGUAAUGGCGCUUUAGGAUGGGCUCGCGGCCUAUCAGCUUGUUGGUAAGGUAACGGCUUACCAAGGCUAAGACGGGUAGCUGGUCUGAGAGGAUGAUCAGCCACACCGGGACUGAGACACGGCCCGGACACCUACGGGUGGCAGCAGUUUCGAAUCAUUCACAAUGGGCGAAAGCCUGAUGAUGCAAUGCCGCGUGGAGGAUGAAGGCCUUAGGGUCGUAAACUCCUGUCAUUGGGGAACAACAAGUAGGUUCAUAGCCUAUCAUGAGUUAACCCAAAGAGGAAGAGGUGGCUAACUCCGUGCCAGCAGCCGCGGUAAUACGGAGACCUCGAGCGUUACUCGGAUUCACUGGGCGUAAAGGGUGAGUAGGUGGCCAAGUAUGUCAGGUGUGAAAUCCCGGGGCUUAACCCCGGAACUGCGCCUGAAACUACUUGGCUAGAGUCUCGGAGAGGAUAGUGGAAUUCCAAGUGUAGCGGUGAAAUGCGUAGAUAUUUGGAGGAACACCAGUGGCGAAGGCGACUAUCUGGACGAGUACUGACGCUCAAUCACGAAAGCAUGGGUAGCGAAAGGGAUUAGAUACCCCUGUAGUCCAUGCCGUAAACGUUGCACACUAAGUUUCGGAGGAUUCGACCCCUUCGGAGCUCAAGCUAACGCGUUAAGUGUGCCGCCUGAGGACUACGGCCGCAAGGCUAAAACUCAAAGGAAUUGACGGGGGCCCG